GCGAUCGUUUUAAAUCACUCCAUUUUCUACAUCAGCAACAAUAUUCAGACCAAAAAAGAUACUCCCAAAACCUCAGAUGAUCACCAAUCAGGCUUUCCUAAUAAACUGACUUCUAAUUUUCUUCUCCUCAUACUAAACGUUUUUUCAGACGAUGGUAUUAGAAUCUCUAAUACCUUUUUCUAUUCUCAUAAAAUUCUAUUGAUUCAAUCCACAAUCUCACUAACGAUAGAUCAGUUCCAUUGUUUGAUUCAAUUUCGCCACCUCCACUUCAGUACAAAUACAAAUUUUCAAGUUCAAAAUUCAAUUCAACUCGGGAGUAAUCCUGGCAUCAUUGAGAAAAAUGAUUCCUACGAUGGUACAAAAGGUCUUAAACGCGAACCAAAUCAGAAUAACCGAGAGACAUAGAAACAACCUCAGGUAUGGCCUUGAACUCUGAAAACGACAGUGCCGGCGAACGCAACGGCUGCCCUAACACGAAAAAAUUGAUCAUCGGAGGUUUGGAUACACAAACAUGAUGCAAAAGAGAAGGUAUAAGGUCUCCAAAUUCCAGAAAUUUAAAUAUGCAUACCCACUUUACUUCUUUGUAUGUUUUCAGUGAAAAACUAACAUGUAUAAAUUCCUUACCUUAUGAGCACAUUUAUCUUAGUUUCUGUGGUUCCACUUACAUUAUGGUUUCAAACUUCAACUGAGUGUACCAUAACUCAAAAUCCGUUUUGAAAUCGGUGGUAUCUAUAGUUUGGGUAA